CACGCCGUAAACGAUGGGUACUAGGUGUCUGGGGGAGCGACCCCCUGGGUGCCGGCGCUAACGCAUGAAGUACCCCGCCUGGGGAGUACGGCCGCAAGGCUGAAACUCAAAGGAAUUGACGGGGGCCCGCACAAGCGGUGGAGCAUGUGGUUUAAUUCGACGCAACGCGAAGAACCUUACCUGGGCUUGACAUGCUGGAGAAAGCUUGCGGAAACGUGAGCCCCUCUUCGGAGUUCCAGCACAGAUGC
rnacentral:rRNA from 1 species